UACGUAGGGUGCGAGCGUUUGUCCGGAAUUAUUGGGCGUAAAGAGCUCGUAGGCGGUCUGUCGCGUCGAUCGUGAAAACUUGGGGCUUAACCCUGAGCUUGCGGUCGAUACGGGCAUGACUGGAGUUCGGCAGGGGAGACUGGAAUUCCUGGUGUAGCGGUGAAAUGCGUAGAGAUCGGGAGGAAGGCCGGUGGCGAAGGCGGCGCUCUGGAACAUUUCUGACGCUGAGGCUCGAAAGCGUGGGGAGCAAACAGGG
rnacentral:rRNA from 1 species